rnacentral:rRNA from 1 species
UCGGGAAUUUUGGGCAAUGGGGGAAACCCUGACCCAGCAACGCCGCGUGAAGGAUGAAGUUUUUCGGAAUGUAAACUUCGAAAGAAUAGGAAGAAUCAAUGACGGUACUAUUUAUAAGGUCCGGCUAACUACGUGCCAGCAGCCGCGGUAAUACGUAGGGACCAAGCGUUGUUCGGAUUUACUGGGCGUAAAGGGCGCGUAGGCGGCGUGGUAAGUCACUUGUGAAAUCUCUGAGCUCAACUCAGAACGGCCAAGUGAUACUGCUGUGCUAGAGUGCAGAAGGGGCAAUCGGAAUUCUUGGUGUAGCGGUGAAAUGCGUAGAUAUCAAGAGGAACACCUGAGGUGAAGACGGGUUGCUGGGCUGACACUGACGCUGAGGCGCGAAAGCCAGGGGAGCAAACGGG